rnacentral:rRNA from 1 species
GCCACGACAUUGCAAGUUCGAGCGGCAGCGACAUUGAAAAAACCGGCGGGGGAGCUUAUGGGCGGCGAGCGGCGGACGGGUGAGUAAUGCCUGGGAAUAUGCCCUGAUGUGGGGGAUAACCAUUGGAAACGAWGGCUAAUACCGCAUAAUCUCUUCGGAGCAAAGAGGGGGAGCUUACGGGCCUCUCGCGUCAGGAUUAGCCCAGGUGGGAUUAGCUAGUUGGUGAGGUAAAGGCUCACCAAGGCGACGAUCCCUAGCUGGUCUGAGAGGAUGAUCAGCCACACUGGAACUGAGACACGGUCCAGACUCCUACGGGAGGCAGCAGUGGGGAAUAUUGCACAAUGGGGGAAACCCUGAUGCAGCCAUGCCGCGUGUAUGAAGAAGGCCUUCGGGUUGUAAAGUACUUUCAGCAGUGAGGAAGGUGGUGUCGUUAAUAGCGGCAUUGCUUGACGUUAGCUGCAKAAGAAGCACCGGCUAACUCCGUGCCAGCAGCCGCGGUAAUACGGAGGGUGCGAGCGUUAAUCGGAAUUACUGGGCGUAAAGCGCAUGCAGGCGGUCUGUUAAGCAAGAUGUGAAAGCCCGGGGCUUAACCUCGGAACUGCAUUUUGAACUGGCAGACUAGAGUCUUGUAGAGGGGGGUAGAAUUUCAGGUGUAGCGGUGAAAUGCGUAGAGAUCUGAAGGAAUACCGGUGGCKAAGGCGGCCCCCUGGACAAAGACUGACGCUCAUAUGCGAAAGCGUGCGGAGCAAACAGCAUUAGAUACCCUGGUAGUCCACGCCGUAAACGAUGUCUACUUGGAUGGUUGGCGUCUUGAAUACUGGCUUUCGGAGCUAAYGCGUUAAGUAGACCGACUGGGAGAAGUACGGUCGCUAGAUUAAUACUCAAAUGAACUGACGGGUGCCCGCUACAGCGAUGGAGUCAUGUGGUAUUGAUUCGAUGCACG